rnacentral:piRNA from 1 species
UGUUGUUAAUGGCAGCUACAGCCAAGAA